CUACGUGCCAGCAGCCGCGGUAAUACGUAGGGCGCGAGCGUUGUCCGGAAUUAUUGGGCGUAAAGAGCUUGUAGGCGGUUUGUCGCGUCUGCUGUGAAAGGCCGGGGCUUAGCCCCGUGUAUUGCAGUGGGUACGGGCAGACUAGAGUGCAGUAGGGGAGACUGGAACUCCUGGUGUAGCGGUGGAAUGCGCAGAUAUCAGGAAGAACACCGAUGGCGAAGGCAGGUCUCUGGGCUGUAACUGACGCUGAGAAGCGAAAGCAUGGGGAGCGAACAGGAUUAGAUACCCUGGUAGUCCAUGCCGUAAACGUUGGGCACUAGGUGUGGGGGACAUUCCACGUUUUCCGCGCCGUAGCUAACGCAUUAAGUGCCCCGCCUGGGGAGUACGGCCGCAAGGCUAAAACUCAAAGAAAUUGACGGGGGCCCGCACAAGCGGCGGAGCAUGCGGAUUAAUUCGAUGCAACGCGAAGAACCUUACCAAGGCUUGACAU
rnacentral:rRNA from 1 species